AAAUUGAAGAGUUUGAUCAUGGCUCAGAUUGAACGCUGGCGGCAGGCCUAACACAUGCAAGUCGAGCGGUAGCACAGAGAGCUUGCUCUCGGGUGACGAGCGGCGGACGGGUGAGUAAUGUCUGGGAAACUGCCUGAUGGAGGGGGAUAACUACUGGAAACGGUAGCUAAUACCGNAUNNNNNCGCAAGACCAAAGUGGGGGACCUUCNGGCCUCAUGCCAUCAGAUGUGCCCAGAUGGGAUUAGCUAGUAGGUGGGGUAACGGCUCACCUAGGCGACGAUCCCUAGCUGGUCUGAGAGGAUGACCAGCCACACUGGAACUGAGACACGGUCCAGACUCCUACGGGAGGCAGCAGUGGGGAAUAUUGCACAAUGGGCGCAAGCCUGAUGCAGCCAUGCCGCGUGUGUGAAGAAGGCCUUCGGGUUGUAAAGCACUUUCAGCGGGGAGGAAGGCGNAAGGUNNNNNNNNNNNNNNNNNNCGUUACCCGCAGAAGAAGCACCGGCUAACUCCGUGCCAGCAGCCGCGGUAAUACGGAGGGUGCAAGCGUUAAUCGGAAUUACUGGGCGUAAAGCGCACGCAGGCGGUCUGUCAAGUCGGAUGUGAAAUCCCCGGGCUCAACCUGGGAACUGCAUUCGAAACUGGCAGGCUAGAGUCUUGUAGAGGGGGGUAGAAUUCCAGGUGUAGCGGUGAAAUGCGUAGAGAUCUGGAGGAAUACCGGUGGCGAAGGCGGCCCCCUGGACAAAGACUGACGCUCAGGUGCGAAAGCGUGGGGAGCAAACAGGAUUAGAUACCCUGGUAGUCCACGCCGUAAACGAUGUCGAUUUGGAGGUUGUGCCCUUGAGGCGUGGCUUCCGGAGCUAACGCGUUAAAUCGACCGCCUGGGGAGUACGGCCGCAAGGUUAAAACUCAAAUGAAUUGACGGGGGCCCGCACAAGCGGUGGAGCAUGUGGUUUAAUUCGAUGCAACGCGAAGAACCUUACCUGGUCUUGACAUCCACAGAACUUNNCAGAGAUGNNUUGGUGCCUUCGGGAACUGUGAGACAGGUGCUGCAUGGCUGUCGUCAGCUCGUGUUGUGAAAUGUUGGGUUAAGUCCCGCAACGAGCGCAACCCUUAUCCUUUGUUGCCAGCGGUNNGGCCGGGAACUCAAAGGAGACUGCCAGUGAUAAACUGGAGGAAGGUGGGGAUGACGUCAAGUCAUCAUGGCCCUUACGACCAGGGCUACACACGUGCUACAAUGGCAUAUACAAAGAGAAGCGACCUCGCGAGAGCAAGCGGACCUCAUAAAGUAUGUCGUAGUCCGGAUUGGAGUCUGCAACUCGACUCCAUGAAGUCGGAAUCGCUAGUAAUCGUAGAUCAGAAUGCUACGGUGAAUACGUUCCCGGGCCUUGUACACACCGCCCGUCACACCAUGGGAGUGGGUUGCAAAAGAAGUAGGUAGCUUAACCUUCGGGAGGGCGCUUACCACUUUGUGAUUCAUGACUGGGGUGAAGUCGUAACAAGGUAACCGUAGGGGAACCUGCGGUUGGAUCACCUCCUUA
rnacentral:rRNA from 1 species